rnacentral:rRNA from 1 species
CACUCCUGCGGGAGGCAGCAGUGGGGAAUUUUGGACAAUGGGCGAAAGCCUGAUCCAGCAAUGCCGCGUGAGUGAAGAAGGCCUUCGGGUUGUAAAGCUCUUUUGUCAGGGAAGAAACGGUGAGAGCUAAUAUCUUUUGCUAAUGACGGUACCUGAAGAAUAAGCACCGGCUAACGACGUGCCAGCAGCAGCGGUAAUACGUAGGGUGCAAGCGUUAAUCGGAAUUACUGGGCGUAAAGCGUGCGCAGGCGGUUUUGUAAGUCUGAUGUGAAAUCCCCGGGCUCAACCUGGGAAUUGCAUUGGAGACUGCAAGGCUAGAAUCUGGCAGAGGGGGGUAGAAUUCCACGUGUAGCAGUGAAAUGCGUAGAUAUGUGGAGGAACACCGAUGGCGAAGGCAGCCCCCUGGGUCAAGAUUGACGCUCAUGCACGAAAGCGUGGGGAGCAAACAGGAUUAGAAACCCUUGUAGUCCCAUGA